UCCUUUUUUCAACAACUCUCAUCUGUGCCUGUCAAUCGAGGAGCAAAGGAGCAUGGUGCAGGGUGUGUUUAACACCGUCUCUGGUGCCUGCAAAACAGAAAUCACCAUUAACACAACCAUAUUACCCUUCACUUCAGUGGUGAAAUACAACUGAAGCCUUUUUUUGGAUCCAGCUUUAAAUUUAAACCUCAACCUACAGGACUUAAGGAGCCAGAGUUGGAACAUCUGAAAACAUCAUAAUGUCUUAUGACCGUAUUCUGUCCAUCGAAAAUUUGAGUGAUGUUCCAAAUCCAUGGAAAGGAUUCACUAUGAACCGCUGCUUAGUGCUUGCACUGGUUGUACUGCUUGUGAGCUCAGGGGUCAGUGAACUGCACGAUGCAAUGGAUUCCUUUGUUGAGGAGACAGGUAUAAGGUCUUUCUUUGGAAGUCUACAGGAUGGUUCAAUACUACAGAUUUCCAUAUGGGACAAUUUCAUGGGGUGGUGGGAAUCUGAAGAAGUUGGAGCGAUAAGAAGAAGAAAAAAGCCGAUUGGCAACAAAGCAAUCCUAAAACCCAAACCUAAAGUAUGAUUUGUAUACGAAACAUACAUGUUAUCAAUUGUCAUAACAAGAGGUUUCUGAAUAAAGUUUGUAUUAUAGAGAACACCA